rnacentral:rRNA from 1 species
UACAGAGGUCUCAAGCGUUGUUCGGAUUCAUUGGGCGUAAAGGGUGUGUAGGUGGCGCGCUAAGUCGGGUGUGAAAUUUCGGAGCUUAACUCCGAAACUGCAUUCGAUACUGGCGUGCUUGAGGACUGGAGAGGAGACUGGAAUUCAUGGUGUAGCAGUGAAAUGCGUAGAGAUCAUGAGGAAGACCAGUGGCGAAGGCGGGUCUCUGGACAGUUCCUGACACUGAGACACGAAGGCCAGGGGAGCAAAACGGG